rnacentral:lncRNA from 1 species
UUCAGGCCGGGCGCAGUGGCUCACGCCUGUAAUCCCAGCACUUUGGGAGGCCGAGGUGGGUGGAUCACAAGGUCAGGAGAUCGAGACCAUCCUGGCCAACAUGGUGAAACCCCAUAUCUACUAAAAAUACAAAAAUUAGCUGGGCGUGGUGGCGCACACCUGUAGUCCCAGCUACUUGGGAGGCUGAGUCAGGAGUAUCACUUGAACCCAGGAGGUGGAAGUUGCAGUGAGCCAAGAUCACACACCUGGAGAUUCUCACACCUCCAG